CCUACGGGAGGCAGCAGUAGGGAAUCUUCCACAAUGGGCGAAAGCCUGAUGGAGCAAAGCCGCGUGGGUGAAGAAGGUCUUCGGAUCGUAAAACCCUGUUGUUAGAGAAGAAAGGGCGUGAGAGUAACUGUUCACGUUUCGACGGUAUCUAACCAGAAAGCCACGGCUAACUACGUGCCAGCCGCCGCGGUAAUACGUAGGGGGCAAGCGUUAUCCGGAUUUAUUGGGCGUAAAGGGAACGCAGGCGGUCUUUUAAGUCUGAUGUGAAAGCCUUCGGCUUAACCGGAGUAGUGCAUUGGAAACUGGGAGACUUGAGUGCAGAAGAGGAGAGUGGAACUCCAUGUGUAGCGGUGAAAUGCGUAGAUAUAAGGAAGAACCCCAGUGGCGAAAGCGGCUUUCUGGUCUGUAACUGACGCUGAGGUUCGAAAGCGUGGGUAGCAAACAGGAUUAGAUACCCGAGUAGUC
rnacentral:rRNA from 1 species